GUGUUCUGCAGCUAAAUACAUCAAGUGUGAGCAAUGUGGAAACCCUAAAGGUAAUAAAUGUGUGUUCAACUUGUGCCGUGGCUGCUGCAAGAGGAAGGCUUUCAAGGAAGUGGCUGAUUGUCUGGGCCAUGGAUUGAGAUUCAAAACCAAGGCUUUAAAACAGUCUAACUCUGAUACAGGUGGUGGGCUGACGAAUGGGAAUCCCAACAGUCAGACAGUUUCCACUGCAGCCCAUGAUCCUUUGUAAAGCAGACUGUACUGGAUGUGGACAACAGUGACGUCUGAAAACACAUUGAACUGGUUUACCACUUAACAUUGCUGCACUGAAUUAGAAGUACAGGACUGCAUUUGAGGCCAAACCUGAUUUUUAAUCCG